AAAGUUUCUGUAUGCCAUAAUGAGCAUCAUCAUCACUACACAUGUUCCCAUUUUUUUAUUGUAAGAAUGUAUUCAUUUUGAGAAGAAGACAUAUAUAACAGAAGAUAGAAGAUGUAUAUAACGGGCUUUGGGCUGGGCCUAGAAACUACGUGGCUAUCCAAGCUACACUUCUUCUGAGGACCUGCAGCUAGCAGAGGGCACCUCAGUACCAAACUGAUGGAGUGUUUAAGGGGGUCUACAAGCAGAAAAUUGUACCCAAAAAUGUCCCCAUUAUUUACCUACAAAUGAAUGUUCUACACCUAUGGAUUUGCUUGCGUUCUGCCUUGGAAUAGUAGUGUGUAGCCUUCACAUGGAUAAAGAAUAUAAGCCUCAUGCCUGAGAGAAAUUGAAAACUCCUGCAUAAUA